rnacentral:ncRNA from 2 species
UAUGUCCACUAGGGGAGCGCGGAUAGCUGAGAUAGUGAGUAAACUCACUGACCCUUGAACCUGCUCUAGGUAAUGCUAGCGUAGGGAAGUGGUUUUAGUAUGUA